rnacentral:rRNA from 1 species
GAUGAACGCUAGCUACAGGCUUAACACAUGCAAGUCGAGGGGAAACGAUAUUGGAAGCUUGCUUCCGAUAGGCGUCGACCGGCGCACGGGUGAGUAACGCGUAUCCAACCUGCCCAUCACUUGGGGAUAACCUUGCGAAAGUAAGACUAAUACCCAAUGACGUCUCUAGAAGACAUCUGAAAGAGAUUAAAGAUUUAUCGGUGAUGGAUGGGGAUGCGUCUGAUUAGCUUGUUGGCGGGGUAACGGCCCACCAAGGCGACGAUCAGUAGGGGUUCUGAGAGGAAGGUCCCCCACAUUGGAACUGAGACACGGUCCAAACUCCUACGGGAGGCAGCAGUGAGGAAUAUUGGUCAAUGGACGAGAGUCUGAACCAGCCAAGUAGCGUGCAGGAUAACGGCCCUAUGGGUUGUAAACUGCUUUUAUAAGGGAAUAAAGUGAGUCUCGUGAGACUUUUUGCAUGUACCUUAUGAAUAAGGACCGGCUAAUUCCGUGCCAGCAGCCG